AGAGACCGGCGCACGGGUGCGUAACGCGUAUGCAACCUACCUUUUACAGAGGGAUAGCCCAGAGAAAUUUGGAUUAAUACCUCAUGGUAUAAUUGAAUCGCAUGGUUUAAUUAUUAAAGUUCCAACGGUAAAAGAUGGGCAUGCGUCCUAUUAGCUAGAUGGUAAGGUAACGGCUUACCAUGGCUACGAUAGGUAGGGGUCCUGAGAGGGAGAUCCCCCACACUGGUACUGAGACACGGACCAGACUCCUACGGGAGGCAGCAGUGAGGAAUAUUGGACAAUGGGCGCAAGCCUGAUCCAGCCAUGCCGCGUGCAGGAAAACGCAUCUAUGGUGUGUAAACUGCUUUUGUACGGGAAGAAACACUCCCUCGUGAGGGAGCUUGACGGUACCGUAAGAAUAAGGAUCGGCUAACUCCGUGCCAGCAGCCGCGGUAAUACGGAGGAUCCAAGCGUUAUCCGGAAUCAUUGGGUUUAAAGGGUCCGUAGGCGGUUUGGUAAGUCAGUGGUGAAAGCCCAUCGCUUAACGAUGGA
rnacentral:rRNA from 1 species